UACGUAGGGUCCGAGCGUUGUCCGGAAUUGUUGGGCGUAAAGGGCUCGUAGGCGGUUCGUCACGUCGGGAGUGAAAACUCGGAGCUCAACUCCGAGCCUGCUUCCGAUACGGGCAGACUAGUGGUAGGCAGGGGAGAGCGGAACUCCUGGUGUAGCGGCGGAAUGCGCAGAUAUCAGGAAGAACACCGGUGGCGAAGGCGGCUCUCUGGGCCUUACCUGACGCUGAGGAGCGAAAGCGUGGGUAGCGAACAGG
rnacentral:rRNA from 1 species